GAUUAAGCCAUACAUGUGUAAGUAUGAACAAAUUCAGACUGUAAAACUGCGAAUGGCUCAUUAAAUCAAUUAUAGUUUGUUUGAUAGUAUCUACUAAUUGGAUAACCGUAGUAAUUCUAAAGCUAAUACGUCCAACAAACCCCGACUUUUGGAAGGGAUGCAUUUAUUAGAUAAAAGGUCGACGUGGGCUCUGUCUGUUGCUGCGAUAAUUCAUGAUACUCGACGGAUGGUAUGGCCAUCGUGCUGGUAACGCAUCAUUCCAAUUUCUGUCCAAUCAAGUUUCGAUGGUAGGAAAGUGGCCUACCAUGGUGGUGACGGGUGAUAGAGAAUUAGGCUUCGAUUUCGGAGAGGGAGCAUGAGAAAUAUCUACCACAUCCAAGGAAGGCAGCAGACACAUAAAUUACCUAAUCCUGACACCAUCGCCCCCAAAUCACCAUGCGCACAAGGAACCAAGGUA
rnacentral:ncRNA from 1 species